CCAGCGCCUUCUUCGCUUGCUCCUCGCCGAAAGGAGGCGCGGCCCGGGAGAGGUCAGCUGUGAAAUGGCAGCGCCUGUUGUAGGGCGGCGAAUGCACAUAGCGAGGGACGCGGUGAAGAAGCUUCUUGGGGGGCAGCUACAACCAGGAAAGACCUCACAUCCCCCGCGAGUGACGAUUGAACCAGAAAUCCGCCCCGGGGCCUGUUUUAGAGCUUUAAAAAAAGGCAAAGAUCUUAUGCCAGGAUACAGCCCUGGGAUAUGAAAAGACGACUAUAUGGAGUCCCGACUCAGGGCUCCAUUCUGUUACCAAGGUUUUUAAACAUCUCCAUGCAACGGAUGAGUGAAGUGGUCACCAGGGUGCUGGGUGUUAUCAAUAUGCUGAUGACACCCAAAUCUAUUUCUCCUUGUCAUCAGUAUCAGGAAAUGGUGUUUGCCCCUUAAAUGCCUGCAGUAAUGGGCUGGAUGAGGAACAACAAAUAUUUCUAUACCGCUUUUCAACAAAAGGUUCCAAAGCGGUUUACAUAGAGAGAUAGUAAAUAAAAAUAAGAUGGAUCCUGUCCUCAAAGGGCUCACAAUCUAAAAAGAAAUAUGAUAGACACCAGCAACAGUCAUUGGAAGUACUGUGCUGGGGAUGCAUAGAGCCAGUUAUGCUCCCCCUGCUAAACAAAAAGAAUUACCACAUUUAAAAGGUGCCUCUUUGCCCAGUUAGCAGGAAUAAUAAGCUAAAUCCAAGCAAGACAAAAAUGUUCCUUGUUGGGGGUUGUAAUCUGCAAGAUGGGAUAGAAGGUUGUGUUUGAGAGGAGGUUACACACACACACACACACACACACCCCAAAAGGGAAACAACAACAACCAGGCUCGUAGCUUGGAAGUGCUCUUGGUUCCAGGUCUCACUCUGGUGCCUCAGGUUGAGGCUGUAGCCAGGAGCACUUUUCACCAGCUAUAACUGAUGGGACAACCUUGAGGAGAAUGACCUGAAAACUGGUACACCAGCUGGCAACCUCCAAGUUGGACUAUUGCAAUAUGCUCUAUGUAGGGCUGCCUCUGUGCAUGGUUUGGAAACUUCAAUUAGUUCAAAAUGCAGUAGCCAGAUUGGUGUUUUGGGGUAUCCCAGAGACACCACAUUAUGCCUGUUCUUAAACAGUUGCACUGGCUCCCGAUAUGUUUCCAGGCAAAGUACAAAGUGCUGGUUAAAAAUUAUACCUUUAAAUCUCUGAAUAGCUUAGGACUGGAUUACCUGAGAGAGUGACUUUCUCUACAAGAUCUCUUCCACUCAAUAUAAUCAAGAGUGGUCCAUUCAGGUGCUACUAGUUCAUCUGAUGGCGAUCUGUGAUCGGGUCUUCUCAGUUGCUGCUCCUAGGUUGAACAUUAAUAUAAGGGGAUUAUGUUCCUUGAAGACCUUCAGGAAAGCCUCAAAAACACAUAUUUUUAGCCUGGUUUUUGAUUAUAUCUAGUUUUAAUUUUAAUCUGGUUUAAAUGUUUUCUGGUUUUGUUUUAUUAUGCAUUUUUAUUGUAAACUGAGCCACUUCAGGAAGGAAGGUAUAUAAAUUGAAUAAACUAAAUAAAUAAACAAACAUCUCUAUAAUUGCUUUCAAGUUAAGCUGACCGGCCUGUAAUUUCCCAGAUCUCCCAUGGAUCCGUUUUUGAAAAUCGGAGUCACAUUGGCUACUUUCCAGUCCUCGGGUACAGAGCCUGAUUGUAGGAACAAGUUAUAUAUUUUUGCUAGGAGAUAAGCAAUUUCAUAUUUGAGUUCCUUCAGAACUCUUGGGUGGAUGCCAUCUGGCCCUGGUGAUUUGUUAAUUUUUAGCUUUUCAAGACAGUUUAAAACGUCUUCACUUGUCACCUCAAAUUGGCCCAGUUCCUCAGCUGCUAAACCUGAGAGGCUCAGUUCCCAAGAGGUUAUAUGGUCAGUAUCGUCCACCCUGAAGACAGAUGCAAAUAACUCAUUCAGCUUCUCUGCAAUCUCCUUAUCCUUCUUAAUAAUCUCUUUCACACCCUCAUUAUCUAAGGGUCCAACUGCCUCCCUGGCAGGUUUUCUGAUAUAUUUAAAUAACUUUUGUUAUUUCUCUUGACAAUUCUAGCUAUAUGCUCCUCAAACUCUCUCUUUGCAUCCCUUAUUGCAUCCUUGCAUUUCCUUUGCCAGAGCAGGGCCCCCAUUUUCUGAAGGAAGUCUUCUUCCUUUUUAUAGCUUACCUGACUCUGCUUGUUAGCCAUACUGGCAUCCUCCUGGACUUGGUGGUACUUUUCCUCCUUCUUGGUAUACAUUCCAACUGUGCUUCUAGUACUGUGGUUUUAAAUAAGUUCCAUUCUCUCUGGAGUGAUUUGACCCUCCUGACUUUUCCUUCCUUCAACUUCCUUCUUACGUCCCCUCGUUUUUGAGAAGUUUCCUCUUCUAAAGUCCAAUGCAUCUGUGUUGGACUUCCUUGAUAAUUCUCCACUUGCAUAUAUGCUGAAUUGGAUCACACUAUGGUCACUGCUACCCAAUGGUUCUGCAACUCUGACAUCUCGCACCAGGUCCUGGGCACCACUCAGGAUUAAGUCCAAGGUUGCCAUCCCUCUGGUUGGUUCAGCUACUCACUGUUCUAAGGCACAAUGAUUUAGCACGUCUAGAAAAUUGAGCUCUCUGUCAUUACCUGAAUGUGAAUUUACCCAGUCUGUGUGUGGGUAGUUGGUCACCCAUUAUUACUGCCCUGUCUCUCUUUGACGCCUCUCUUAUUUGUUUCUCCAUCUCCAGGUCACUCUCAGCGUUUUGAUCCAAAGGGCGAUAGCACGUCCCUAGUAACACAUUUCCUUUCAGUCCUCGUAAUGUUACCCAUAAUGAUUCUGUGGAGGACUCUGGUCUACCUAGGUUUUCUAUCUUAUUGGAAUCUAUCCCUUCUUUGAUAUACAGCGCCAACCCUCCCCUCCCUGUCUAUAUAGUUUAUAUCCAGGAAUAAUCAUGUCCCAAUGGUUCUCACCAUUCCACCAGGUUUCUGUUACACCCGCUAUAUCUAUGUUUUCAUUAGUAACCUCCAGCUCACCCAUCUUGGCUUGGAGCCUUCUGGCAUUGGUAUACAGACACCUAUACGCCAGGUCCCUCACCUGGUGUUGGCGUGUGCUAUCCCCCUUACCAUCAUUUGACCUAUUUGGCAAGCUGUCCUGUUUUUCCUUCUGCUUAACUCCUGGCUCUACUCUAUCCCCUUCUGGUUUAUCCGAAACAUGUUCACCCUCACACUUUAGGGGAUUUUGCCAGCCUAAGCAGAUACCACCCUGUACCCACCAGCAGUCUCCCAGGUGUCAUUUUAAAAGCUGCUCUGCGACCUUCUUGAUUUUUAGUUCCAGCAGUCUGGUUUCAUUUUGGUUCAAGUGGAACCCGUCCCUUUUGUACAGGCUUCACUUUCCCCAAAAUGUAUCCCAGUGCCUAACAAGUACCACAAACCUAGAAAGUUUCCCAGAAAUAAGAAUAGUUUCACCUCUUGAAUUUCUGCCUGUCAUACAGCUGUUAAAGACAUAACCAGAAAAAGGUGGCAACCCUUACACUUAACCAAAUAUUCAUAAAUACCUAUCAAACUAUCAUGAUAUAAAAUACUACCAGCCUAUCAUAUCUCAAUCUGAGAUACAAGAGGGAAAAUAUUCAAUAACAAAAAAACAUAAAAACCAAACCAACCAACUGCAAUACCUACCUCACCUUAGUCAAAUACAAAAUGAGAAGUUACUCUUUUUUUGUGCCAACUUCUGUUAGCAUAAGAUUGCAAGUUUUCAAAGAACAUUGUACUUACUGCUUUAUUAUAUGUUUAAAUUUCUUAGGGCCUUUCCAAAUGACACACCCUCUCCCCCCCCCGCCCCAUUUUCUCUGUUACUGAUGUACUUAUCCAAAUUUCGAUUACUUGUUGUCCUGCCCCUCAGAAACCUUGCUUCGUGAGGGUGCCAGGCCAUUCUCCUUUUUUGUUGCCUACAUUAGAGCUGUUGAAAGAUAUGCACUGUAGAGAGACACACAGCAAAGAACUGAGGAAAAAAUGGAGAUAAAAUCCACAAAAUAGCAUGGUAUAUUUACAGGAUGGUGUUCACAUUAUUUUUCUCUUAUUUUAAGGACUACAACAGGAACACUCCCAUCCUUGUGUACUAACAGGUGAGUGAGACCAUGAGAGCUGAGGAAGAGAUAUUGCUGCUGAGAGAUGGGCAGUGCUGAAGAUGGAGUCCUUUGUACUAAACAUUCCUUUGCAAGAGGAGGGGUGUGUGGUAGAAUUUGCGUCCUGAUUAAGGGGAUGGAGAUGAACAUGUUUGUUGAGGCUGAUUUUCAGAGAAGAAACAGCAAGGUGGUCAGGGAGGGGAAACAGAGCAGUUAAAGAUGAUAUGAAGUGAAAUGUUUCAGUUCAAAAGGAUGUGGAUAUUUUAUAUCCCCUUUUUGAUAUUAAUAACACUGAGUUUUGUUUGUAUAUGUUUAAUGUGAUGCAUUGUUCAUAUUAAUGAACAAAUGAAAAUAAAGCUUUUUUAAAAUCUCACCAUGCUACAGCCCUGACAAAAAUUGUUAAGCUUGGAACAGAAGCUUCCUUUGGAACCCAAAGAAGGGAAGAAGAGCUGGUCUUGUGGUAGCAAGCAUGAAAUGCCCUCUUGUACUUCACAAACUUGAUACUGUUGUAUUAUUUGGUUUUGCUGUAUAUACCUUGUAACUAGUCUUUCCUCUGUUAAUCUGCUACACUAUAUUACACGUAUCCUUAAUGUUCUUCUGCAGCAGAGACAUGGGGCCAGGAGAAGGAAAGGAAGGCAGUGAGGGGCCCAUUUUAGAAUCUCAUCUCUGGGCUCACUCCAACAUUGGUAUGCCCCUGCUCCAUGGUAUUCUUCUGUUGAGGAAAAAUGUUUCAACCUAGACUCUCUGCAGUUUUCUAUUGACUUUGUACACCCUGAGAGUACCUGUUCAUUCUUUAUCACUGGACAAAUGCUACUGGUCCUCAGUUAAGUAUCCAGGAAUCCAAACUCUCUCUUACUGUAUAUAUCACAAACCUUGGUGUUUGUUUGAAUCUUUUUACCUAAUAAUGUUGCCAGUUAUUUUAUGGGACUUUAAUUAUUAUAAAUACUAUAUUACAACAAAAAAUACAAAACAUGUAACAAAAAGUUAUCCUAAGUACUAUGAUAAAUCCAGAGAUCCAUGGAUGCUAGCUGGCACCACACACACACACACACACACACACACACGUGUUGGGGGAGGCAGGGUUGGACCUACCUUCCCCCCAGACGAUCUGCACUUGCAGACUACACUUGCAAGCUACCAAUUUUAGUUGCACUAUAUCAAUUUAUCUGCCUUUCUACCACACUCCCUAAUCAGUCUACCUUUUUCAUCAAUUUUAGAGCUUUCAGAUGCAAAAUAUGCCAGCAGCUUAGCCAUUACAUCAGACAGGACUGAAAGUUCUAUUAUCACUCUUGAGCACUCAUUGAGGCUUUUCUCAUGAGCAGCCUAACCCAGACUAGGGCAGCCCAGUCAGGGUUAGGCUGGUCAUGUAGCGCACCUAGAUUGCUCCUGAUCCCAGCAUAUUCGCUCUGCCUAACACAACUUUUUACUCUGGUGUUUAGCCAGGGGUGUGUGUGCGCUCUGGCUGCAUGCAGCCCGAGCGCACACAGGAUUGGGCACUCUCUAGGGGAUUCUCCUAAUGCAACACACUCAUCACUCAGUGCAUUGUGGGAUAUCUGGAGGCCAGGACUCGUUUUCCCAGCCUCCAGUGAUCCACAUUGUCAGGAGCAACAUGGAUUGUGUGGGUGCACAUAAGAACAGCCCUUCUGGAUCAGGCACAAGGCCCAUCUAGUUCAGCAUCCUGUUUCACACGGUGGCCCACAAGAUGCCUCUGGGGAGCCGACAGGCAAGAGGUGAGGGCAUGCCCUCUCUCCUGCUAUUGCUCCCCUGCAACUGGUAUUGAGAAGCAUCGUGCCUCUGAGACUGGAGAUGGCCCACAGCCAUCAGACUAGUAACCAUUGAUAGACAGGUCCACCAUGAAUUUGUCUAAGCCCCUUUUAAAGCCAUCCAAGCUGGUGGCCAUCACCACAUCUCAUGGCAAAGAAUUCCAUAGAUUAAUUGUGCACUGUGUGAAAAAGUACUUCCUCUUGUCAGGUGUUGCAACAGCACCCCAAAGAGGAGGCUGCAGAUCGUCUGUGGGGAGAAGGUAGGCCCAACCCUGCCUUUUCCCCCACCAGCCCUCCAGUGUUACUUUUAGAUGUGAUCAAAAAACACAGGAUGAGAGUAAGUGCACUGUGAGUAGUGUGCUACAACUUUAGUCUGGUAUCUUGUCCCCUUUCCCCACCACUGCAAGACAGCUAAAUGCUGACAAUUAGUAUGGCUGCAAAGUACCUUGUUUUGCCUAAAGAUUUCUGGAAGGGGGUUGCUGCUCCAAGUUCGCUUCCCUACACCUUUUUAAACAGAGAAAUUGAAUGAGAAAGAAAGAUAAUUUCUCUCUCUCUAGAUUCUUAGGAAUGUAGAAUGUGAAGGGAGGCAAGGCACUAAACACACAGCUAUGCCCAUUCAGGAGUACUUUGCAAGUCAAAACUUAGCUAGAAGAUUGUAUCCUUGAUAACUCAUUGCUUUUAGUCCAGAUGCAUCUGCACCUUGGACUUAUUUUAAAAAAUGGACUUAUUUAAAUGGACGUAAUGGACUUAUUUUUUUAAAAAGUUCCUCACCAUCACCACAUAUAGUUGAGUGCUCCUUGAGAUUUUCUAAUCCUCUUCCUUACACACUUCUUUUAGUAUAAGAAAUAAGAAGGUCCACCCUCACUUUAUAGAUGAAAGGGACAAGCAGGAUUCAUGUCAGAAGUCAGCAUUGUUGGGCCACUGCCAAGGGUCCUUAAAAGGGCCCAUUGCUCAUGUCUGAGAUAACUUCUGUGUUCUUCGUUUGUGGGUGGGUGGGGUGGAGCAGACUGAUUUUCCUGGAGCCCACCCAAGGAGGAGAGGACUGGCUAAUAGAGGGCAUUAUGUUGAAACCUUGAGCCAUCCCUGGAAGUAAGUCCUUUACUCAAACUAGACAUUUAAGAUUGCAACUACCAUUGUUAAACAACCAUUGUAGGUGUGGUCUUAAAUGUGUAGUUUGAGCCAGGAUUCAGUUCUCUCCCUCAAGACAAGUACCUGGUUUGAGAAGUGCUAAAAGUGUGGGUGUGUUGGUUGAAUAAGUGCCACCAGGUCGGUGUCAACUCUUAGCGACCACACAGAUAGAUUCUCUCCAGGAUUAUUUGUCUUUUACUUGGCCUUUAAGGUCUCUCAGUGGUGCAUCCAUUGCUGUCAUAAUUGAGUUCAUCCACCUUGCUGCUGGUCGUCCUCUUCUUCUCUUUCAUUCAACUUUUCCCAGCAUUAUGGAUUUCUCAAGGGAGCUGGGUUUUCGCAUAAUGUGUCCGAAGCAUGAUAGUUGAGCCUGGUCAUUUGUGCCUGGAGUGAACAUUCUGGAUUGAAUUGUUCUAUGACCCAUUUGUUUGCUUCCCUGGUUGUCCAUGGUAUCCUCAAAAGUCUUCUCCAGCACCAAAGUUCAAAAGCAUCAAUACUUUUUCUAUCUUGCUUCUUCAAAGUCCAGCUUUCACAUCCAUAGAGUAUCACAGGAAAAACCACUGUCCAAAUAAUUCUAAUCUUUGUAGGUAUAGUCACAGCACCUAAAUAUGCUUUCAAAGGCCUUCAUUGCAACCCUGCCAAGUGCUAGUUUGCAGCGUAUUUCUUGACUGCUGGAUCCUUUACUCUUGAUGGUCAAUCCUAAAAGGCAGAAGCUAUUCACCACUUCAGUGUCUUCAUUAUCCAUUCUGAGGCUGGUUGCUGUACCUGUUGUCAUUAGUUUAGUCUUCUUUACAUUUAGUUGUAGUCCCAUUUUUUCACUGUGCUCCUUGACUUUCAUUACUAGAGCUUGCAGAUCAUGCACAUUCUCAGCUAUCAGAGUGGUGUCAUCAGCGUAGCACAGGUUAUGAUGUUUCUUCCUCCAACUUUAAAAACACACUCAUCUUCUUCCAAUCCAGCUCCUCUCAGUAUAUGUUCAGCAAUAUAAGUUGCAUAAAUAAGGAGAAAGUAUACAGCCUUGUCUUACUCCUUUGCCAAUCUGCAACCAGUAUGUUUCAAUAUAGUCUGGACUGUGGCUUCCUGUCCUGUGUAUAGGUUUCUCAUGAGAACAAUGAGGUGUUCUGGGACACCCAUUUUCCUAAGGAUAUUUCACAACUUGACAUGGUCAAUGCAAUCAAAAGGCUUUUCUGUAGUCAAUGAUGCACAUAUUGACUUUUUUGUGUGUAUUCUUUGGCUUUCUCAAUUAUCCAGCGUGCAUCAGCAAUAAUGUCUUGUGUUCCUCGGCCUUUUCUGAAACCAGGUUGAACAUCCAGCAUUUCUCUUUCCACAUAGGGCUCUAAUCUGCAUUGGAUGAUCCUAAGAAUUAUUUUGCUAGCAUGUGAAAUUAAGGAUAUUGUGCAAUGGUUUGUGCAAUCUGUUAAGUCUCCUUUCUUUGGUAUGUGUAUAUAGACUGCCCUCUUCCAAUCCAUUGGCCACUGUGUCAUUCUCCGAAUUUGCUGGCAUAGUUUGGUUAGAGCCUUGACUGAUUCUUCUUCUGUUGCCUGACAUAGUUCUGUAGCUAUUUAAUCAAUUCCUGUAACCUUCUGACACGGUAGUGUUGAUCUAACUCUGUGUUCCCAUACUAGAGAUUCUUGCAAGUAGGGAAUAUCUUCUAGAGUAUCUUGGAUGCUGAUGUCCCUGCUGAACAGAUUUUCAGUAUACUCCUUCCAUCUCUGUUUGAUCUUCUCUGAAUCACUUACUAUCUGUCCUUUGGCAUCCCUUAACAUACCAAUUUGAGGUUGGAACCUCCUUCAGAGAUCUUUUGGAAAACUUUUCUCAUUUUUCCAUGUCUAUUUCCAACCUCAAGGUCUUUACAGAUUUCAUUGUAGUACUGCUCCUUUUCUCUACUUACAGCUUUCUGAAAUUCCCUAUUAAGUUCCUUCAUGAGGUCUUUAUCUUUCUUGACUUUGGCUUCUCUCCUCUUGGCAAUUUCCACUGUCUGUUCUGACAUCCAUUUUGUUUUCUUCUGUUUCUUGGUCUUUGGCAGUCUCUUUUAACAUACAUCCUUAACAACUUAUUUGAUUUCAUUCCACAGUUCCUCUGGUUCCCUAUCAAUGAGGUUAAUAACUUCAAAGGGUGUGUACAGGCCCAAAAGCCUUUGUAGUAAGAAUUAAGCUAUUCUUAGUGGUUACAUUUUGUGUAAUGGUAAGAGAAAACUAGAUCUUGGGGAACUGUGUGGACCUUGGGUUUCUCCAUGGUGGGAGGGGUGCAUGUUGCAGAAUUUAAAUGUUCAGACUGGGAGGAGAUCCAUCCCUUUGUACUCACUGUUAAAUAAUGGGUUUUCCUGUGCAUUGAGUACAAUGGAAUAAAGAUCCCACUCUAUGUUUACUAAGGAGAGCUUCAUUAAAUGUGAUCUCCAGACACUGCCCUGGGAACAGUAGUAGUUUCCGCAGUAUUCUGCACUUUUACCACUCUUGAGUCGGACUGAGUGCAAAUAGCUAGAUGGUGUUAAGGAGUAACUAAUGUGCAUUGGGUGUCCCUAAGCAUGUUCAGAAAAGGGAACUUUGGCAUGUAAAGCUUGUUGUGCCACGUUGUAUUUAAGUUGUCUAAUUUGGCUGGACCAAAAAGAAUGAAAACCAUCCUCAUCUGUUUUCAUAUAACAACGUAUUUAUAAAUGUGAUGUGCAUUAAUGUAAAUAUUGGAACCUCAACUUCGUAUAUGGCAUACUAAUGAUUGUGGAAUCAGAGGAUGUAAUUGUCCAAAAUAUACAUUUUUUUUUUUUUGCUUUCAAAUCUUGGCAGCCAUGUAUGUGUGUAUAUAAUAUAUAUAUAUAAAACUAACAAAACUGA